rnacentral:rRNA from 1 species
AGAGUUUGAUCCUGGCUCAGGACAAACGCUGGCGGCGUGCGUAACACAUGCAAGUCGAACGGGGUCAGAGGGAGGUAGCGAUACCUUUUUGUGGCCGAGUGGCGGACGGGUGAGUAACACGUGGAUAACCUGCCCUGGUGUGGGGGAUACCCUGUAGAAAUACGGGCUAAGACCGCAUAUGGUCGUCUUGAGGGGGCUUA